rnacentral:rRNA from 1 species
ACUCCUGCGGGAGGCAGCAGUGGGGAAUUUUGGACAAUGGGCGAAAGCCUGAUCCAGCAAUGCCGCGUGAGUGAAGAAGGCCUUCGGGUUGUAAAGCUCUUUUGUCAGGGAAGAAACGGUGAAAGCUAAUAUCUUUUGCUAAUGACGGUACCUGAAGAAUAAGCACCGGCUAACUACGUGCCAGCAGCCGCGGUAAUACGUAGGGUGCAAGCGUUAAUCGGAAUUACUGGGCGUAAAGCGUGCGCAGGCGGUUUUGUAAGUCUGAUGUGAAAUCCCCGGGCUCAACCUGGGAAUUGCAUUGGAGACUGCAAGGCUAGAAUCUGGCAGAGGGGGGUAGAAUUCCACGUGUAGCAGUGAAAUGCGUAGAUAUGUGGGGGAACACCGAUGGCGAAGGCAGCCCCCUGGGUCAAGAUUGACGCUCAUGCACGAAAGCGUGGGGAGCAAACAGGAUUAGAAACCCCGGUAGUCCCA